rnacentral:misc_RNA from 1 species
AAGACUAUAGACCUGCGGAGUACCUGCGGAAGGAUCAUUAUCGUAUUGUAACAAUUGGGGGGGCCACCGUGGGCUGUCGCUGACCCUUUGAAAGGGGGGUUGUGCACGCCCCCAUAGUGUCAUCCUCAUACAAUCCAACUCACCUCUGUGCAUCACCGCGUGGGUUCCUUUCUGGGUCGAGUCAGACUGGCUCAGAAAAAAGGGGCUUGCGUUUUCCAUACAAAUACCCUUAUAAAUCCA